rnacentral:lncRNA from 1 species
CCUGCCGGGUAGGAAGCCCGGGGAGCGCCUCUCCGCCGCCGCCCGUCGCCCCGGAAGUCGCGCCCUGAGAUUCCGGGCACUUUCUUUUUCUUCUUUGGAAUGGUGUGAUGUCCGCGGUUGUUUUUGUCCUUAUACCUGAAGACGCCAAGCUUUUCAAAAGCCAUCAGAAGGCGCGGCCUGCCACCUGGACAAACGCGGUCUCCCCCAGAGCCCGGUUGCGCCCCGAAGCCGGGUUCCGUCCCAUCUCCGACAAAGACACUUCCUGAUUUGCCCCUCGCCAGACUCCAGCAAUUUUCUGGGUCCCCGGGAAGCUGAUUUCGCCUCUGGGCUUCCAUGAUUAGUGGCAGCUGGAGCGCUGCUCCCCAACCUGGGCCCACUUUAGGGUGUGUGGGGCAGGGAGGAGGGUGGGGUCACUCUUAAUCUCGUGUCACAGCUAAAUAAUUUACUCAAGGUCUUCUCUUCCUGCCAGUUCCCUUCCCUGUUCCACUGCCCUUGACUUCCUGCUUUGUGAAGCCCCGGGGAAAGGCCAACUCUUAAUAAAAGUUAAUAUUAAUAGAGGCCCCGUGCGCCGGGCUUCUCCAACACCUCAUCUUCCCCUCUCACCUCCACCCACUCCACUCAAGCCCCUUUCCUCGGGGAAUUCUUUCAAAACUGGAGAUGGGACUUGUACUUUGGGGUAUAUUCAGGAAACAAGGACGCUUGGGCCACAUUGUGUCUAAACCACAUCCUCCUCCAGUUUCCAUCAGCGCGGAGGGUGGCAAAGGUCGAGCGUGCACUCAGUAGCUGCCACACAGAAGCCGCGCUGGUUCCAAAGCAGUCCAGAGAUAAGGGCGGGGGCCAGCCAGCAGGUUCUGCAGGAGAAAUACCUGCUGGAAAGAACAGGUCGAGCGAUUACCAGAGAGGCGGGGAACAAAAUUUACCAGUGUUCAACAGAUACUUUAAAAAAGGCAACAAACCAAUAUUGUACAAAGAAUACGUAACAGUAUCAAGGUCACUGUUCCCUGAUGUGUGUGCGAAUUCGAGCCUACUCAUUUUCCCAUAGCAAAGUCUAGUUUGGUUUGAGCUAAGGGCUUGGACAAACAAUUCCUUCCAAGAAGGUUAAACAACGCAGAAAUGUGAAAAGAAAAAAGUAACUUCUCCAUCCUUUCAAUUCCAUCCCUCUAUUAACAAUGUUAACACUGUUGGAUGUCAUUUCGAGAAUUUUUCUGUGCUUACACAAAUACGUAUUACAUUUAAAAUCUUGUUCUUUCUUUUCUGUCCUUUAAAAAAAACAAAAAUGAAGUCACACUUUACUUUGUGACUUGCUUUUAUCAUUUAAUAAUAUAUCAUGGAUAUUUCACCAGGUCAUUACACAUAAAUCACAUCAAUUUUUAAAAUGUCUAUUGCAUUAUGUAAACAAAGAUAUAAUUUUAUCUAUUUAUUCAAUCAUUUCUUUUGAAUAUUUACUAUGUUCUAAGUGCUGGGAAAACAGCAGUAAUCAUCACCAUUAAAAAUCCCUAUUCUUGGGAAACUUAAUUCUAGUGGGAAAAAAUUUUAAAUCAAUUUAUUUAACGAUUUCCUUACAGAUGAACAUUUAAGUUGUUGUCAUUGUUUUGCUAUUACAAACCAUACGAAGGUAAGCUUUUUACAUAUACCCUUUUGUAGUUUUGUAUAUUUAAAGGAUAGAUUUCUUAAAUUUGAAAUGGUAGGUCAAAAAAAUGUACAUUUUAAAACUCUAGUAAAGAUAGCCAUUGCUUUCCAAAAAACUUUAGCAAGUCACACAAUUCACAGUCCCGUUGAGUGAGUUUCCCUUUCUUCAUAUCCUCUUUUACCCUAGACAUUAUCUCUUAAAUUUUUGCCAAUAUGAUGGACAGAAAAUGGUAACCAAUUUAAUUUUUUAUUCUGAAAUUAUUAAGCAGGUUGAGCAUACUUCAUGUUUAUUGGGCAUUCGCAUUUUGUCUUCGAUGAUUUUUCUUUUCUAGUAAACAGAACCAAAAGAAAUGGAGUGAGUAUCCCAGCCUUCAUGCUUGAUUUUUAAACUUAAAUUAUUUUAUUUAAGCUUUAAAACAACCAGCAUUCAUUUCUAUGAGACAGAUUCUAAUCUAGGCCUUUCUGACAUCAAACACUGUGUUAUUUCAAACAUUAUUGAGUCUGCUCUCUGAAUAGUGUAGACUUUGGGCCAGGCGCGGCCGCUCACGCCUGUAAUCCCCGCACUUUGGGAGGCUGAGGCAGGAGAAUCACUUGAACUCGGGAGGCAGAGGUUGCAGUGAGCUGAGAUCACACCACUGUACUCUAGCCUGGGUGACACAGCAAAACUCCAUCCAAAAAAAAAAAAAAAGUGCAGACUUUAUAAGUAUAAAGGAAGAGUGAGAAGUGACAAAGAAAACAGUAGAUAGCAAUUAAGGACAUCCUAUCUGAAAUUUAAAAACAAAUAACAGAACGAUGAAAAGUAUUUGCUACAAAAAUGCCAGAAAAUUGCUAACCUAUAAAGAAUCCAAUACAAAAUGAGAAGAAAACAU